rnacentral:rRNA from 1 species
AUUGAACGCUGGCGGCAUGCUUUACACAUGCAAGUCGAACGGCAGCGCGGGCUUCGGCCUGGCGGCGAGUGGCGAACGGGUGAGUAAUACAUCGGAACGUGCCCAGUAGUGGGGGAUAGCUCGGCGAAAGCCGGAUUAAUACCGCAUACGACCUGCGGGUGAAAGCGGGGGAUCUUCGGACCUCGCGCUAUUGGAUCGGCCGAUGGCAGAUUAGCUAGUUGGUGGGGUAAAGGCCUACCAAGGCGACGAUCUGUAGCUGGUCUGAGAGGACGAACAGCCAAAAGGGGACUGGGAAAAGGCCCAGACUCCAAAGGGAGGGAGGAGGGGGGGAAAUUGGAAAAAGGGGGGAAGGCCGAACCAAGCAAGGCGCGUGGGGGAAGAAGGGCUUCGGGGUGUAAAGAAACUUUGGGGGGAAAGAAAAAGGAGGGGCCAAAAACCACGGGGGAAGAAGGUAACCGAAAAAUAAACACCGGGCAAAUUAGGG